AGUGAACGCUGGCGGUAGGCCUAACACAUGCAAGUCGAACGGCAGCACAGUAAGAGCUUGCUCUUACGGGUGGCGAGUGGCGGACGGGUGAGGAAUACAUCGGAAUCUACUUUUUCGUGGGGGAUAACGUAGGGAAACUUACGCUAAUACCGCAUACGACCUACGGGUGAAAGCAGGGGAUCUUCGGACCUUGCGCGAUUGAAUGAGCCGAUGUCGGAUUAGCUAGGUGGCGGGGUAAAGGCCCACCAAGGCGACGAUCCGUAGCUGGUCUGAGAGGAUGAUCAGCCACACUGGAACUGAGACACGGUCCAGACUCCUGCGGGAGGCAGCAGUGGGGAAUAUUGGACAAUGGGCGCAAGCCUGAUCCAGCCAUACCGCGUGGGUGAAGAAGGCCUUCGGGUUGGAAAGCCCUUUUGUUGGGAAAGAAAAGCAGCAGGUUAAUACCCCGCUGUUCUGACGGUACCCAAAGAAUAAGCACCGACUAACUUCGUG
rnacentral:rRNA from 1 species